rnacentral:rRNA from 1 species
GAACGAACUCUGGCGGCGUGCCUAACACAUGCAAGUCGCGCGAGAAAGCGGNGGCAACUCCGUGAGUAAAGCGGCGCACGGGUGAGUAAUACGUAGGUAACCUACCUCCGAGACCGGGAUAACCCUCCGAAAGGAAGGCUAAUACUGGAUGAGACCACGGAGCCUCGGCUCUGCGGUCAAAGGUGGCCUCCACUCGUAAGCUACCACUCAGAGAUGGGCCUGCGCACCAUUAGCUAGUUGGCGAGGUAACGGCUCACCAAGGCGAAGAUGGUUAGCUGAUCUGAGAGGAUGAUCAGCCACACUGGGACUGAGACACGGCCCAGACUCCUACGGGAGGCAGCAGUGGGGAAUCUUGGACAAUGGGGGAAACCCUGAUCCAGCGACGCCGCGUGGGUGAUGAAGGCCUUCGGGUCGUAAAGCCCUGUCGGGAGGGAAGAAACUCCUGCCGGUGAACAAUCGGCGGGAUUGACGGUACCUCCUAAGGAAGCACCGGCUAACUCUGUGCCAGCAGCCGCGGUAAGACAGAGGGUGCAAGCGUUGUUCGGAAUUACUGGGCGUAAAGGGCGCGUAGGCGGCCCGCUAAGUUCGGUGUGAAAUCCCCUGGCUCAACUGGGGAACUGCGCCGGAAACUGACGGGCUCGAGUACCGGAGAGGAGGGUGGAAUUCCUGGUGUAGCGGUGAAAUGCGUAGAUAUCAGGAGGAACACCGGUGGCGAAGGCGGCCCUCUGGACGAGUACUGACGCUGAGGCGCGAAAGCGUGGGGAUCAACAGGAUUAGAUACCCUGGUAGUCCACGCUGUAACGAUGGGAACUAGGUGUGAGAGGUUAGAUCCUCUCGUGCCGCCGCUAACGCAUUAAGUUCCCCGCCUGGGGAUUACGGCCGCAAGGUU